rnacentral:lncRNA from 1 species
GAUAGACAAGAGAGCCAGGAGGCCAUACAAAGAACAGCAGGGAAGAGCCGGCACCAAAAACUUGCACUCAGAAUGUCAGAGAACCACUCGAGUGGAAGGGUGCCAACUCGAGCUGCAGAGAAGGAAAAAGGAAACAGAAAAACAGGCAGCUAAAAGAGGCUGACGAACAGCGCAGCCAGGGCAGAAAGCAUGCAAAAAAUAAACGAAGAGGGAGGGCAGAAAUACAACCCCACAACACCAGGAUACAACCAAAUGAAAGCAGCAGCCGGGUGAACUGGAAGCAGCAACAACAGCGACUAAAAGACCAAGGGUAAGACGAGAUAGAGAACCACCCAAACAAGGGGGAAGAGGGGGCUACCCACGAGCAUCAUCAAUGCAAAGAAAGACAUGAACGGAGACGGCCAAAUGAUCUCUUCAGUAGGAGGCCGAAACGCUUACUCAAAGAUAGAAGGGUGGAUACCCCAACUAAGCUGAAGACGUUUGUUGCGUGGGAUAUCCGGGACCUUGGAGAAUGUAAGGGCCUUAUCUUUGACAGCUUUGAUUAGAUGGGCUUUCAUGGCUGGGAGGGAGAGCUGUUGGUUGCGGAAGAUGAUAUUGUUUCUCUCCUUCCAGACAAGAUAACAUAAGGCACCAAAGGAAAACCUAGCCAUUGAUUGAUGGAACCCUGAAUCAGAUAAGUGAUUAAUAGCCCACAAAAGGUUCACUUUCCAGGUCUGGUUUCUCCAAGGAAGAUUAAACUUUGCUGCC